AUUCCGGGCAGCGGCCCUGUGUCCUGCAAGCUUGAGGACCGCGGUUCCUCUCCCACCAAUUGGGGUCCUGAAUUAGGAGAUGUGAGUUAGAUCCGGGACCACGGGGCUGCACCUGCGUCCUGCCCGCCCCCACCCUACCCCUUCACCUCAGGACCUGACCUAGACUCCAGAGAGAACAGUAAGGCUUCGGUGCCUUAGUCUGGGACUGUGGAAGUCGAUAGGCUGCGGGCUUACAGGGAGCUUCGUAUACUAAAAUCAGCCAGCUGCGGAGGCAGAGCUGAAAGGAGGCAGAAAGAAUGAGCUCUCUGAACUUGCAUGGCUACCCAGACCAUCCCUACAACUCCCUUGAACUCACAAGGGUAUGAAUAUUCAGCCAAUCUCUUCUUUGUUAUAGUCUGUUAAGGGCUUUGAGAUCUUCCAUUUGGACUCCUUGACAGCCGGUAGAUCAACACCUGCACAAAAAAUAGCAGCCACCACAAUUCAGUUGUCCCUUACCUACCUGAGCUGGAAGUUAGUAACUUGGAAAAUGUAAAACAAGAACCCUCAUAGAACUUGGGACAAGAUUUGAAAAAAAUAAAGUUACCCUAUGAAAUGAUCUGUAAAUGGGCUACAGAGGCCACAGUGUCUCCCACAUUUCAUCAGAGAGAGUAAACCAUGUGUAACCUAAGUGUCACAUACCCAGUUAAUGCUGUCAUAACCGAAGGGUGGGGUCCACAAAGAGUCUAAAACCAGAAGAAUCUGAAUAAGAAUGUUCUAUGAGGCUCCCAGGAACUCUGUCCAGGAACGAGGCAACUGAUUCUAAUGACCAGAACCAACACUUACUCUCAGGGCAGUUAAAUCUUAAUUCAGAUUCACUCACUCAUUCAACAGAUACUUAGUGAAUGCUUACUAUGUUCUAGUCUCUUAAGAUACGUCAGUAAAUCCCUGCCUUCGUGGAGUUUAUAUCCUAGCAAACCUAAAUUCUGGAUCUCCGUUAAGAGCAUACAAAGGCCCAUACUCUGAUUCCAAACUCAGCUAGUAGCCUUUCCAUCAUUCAGGGAGUCUCUCAAAUAAAUCUACAUACCCAAUAAGAAGGGAUUGUCCAAGGCAUAUAACUAGGACUAGUUAUACUAGCUGUACAGUUUUUGUCAAUAAAUUCAUAUCAUGGUUUACAAAUCGGACACUGUUCACUGGGUUGAAUUGUUUUAUCCGAAUUAAUUUCUCAGAGCCUAUUUAAACUUGAGCGAAGUGAAAUAAAAGUUUCCAAAUCUGCCAAACAGGAUCAACAGAGCCUGAUUUCAGAGCAGCCCAGUGAAGAUGCAGUCUGUGCAUUUAGCCUUGUAUCUCUCUUUAAAUAUCUUAAAUGAAAGCUUUACCUGUGAUUCCAUGCUUGGAGAACAGGAGCAAUAUGAUUGCUUCAAAAGCUUUAUCAUAAGUGCGUAAAAGUCUUGAGAGUAAAUCCGAAGAGAGUUAAAAACCUCCUCCGCCUGCCCCACAUAUGCAACACAGGCUCUUGUUGACAUAACUGACUGUAAUAAAUACUUUGCU
rnacentral:lncRNA from 1 species